AUACGUAGGUGGCGAGCGUUGUCCGGAAUUACUGGGCGUAAAGGGUGCGUAGGCGGCUCUUUAAGUGAGGUGUGAAAGCCCUGGGCUUAACCCAGGAAUUGCACUUCAAACUGGAGAGCUAGAGUGCGGGAGAGGAAAGUGGAAUUCCCAGUGUAGCGGUGAAAUGCGUAGAGAUUGGGAGGAACACCAGUGGCGAAGGCGACUUUCUGGACUGUAACUGACGCUGAGGCACGAGAGCGUGGGGAGCAAACAGGAUUAGAUACCCUGGUAGUCUACGCUGUAAACGAUGAAUACUAGGUGUAGGGGGCGAAGCCCUCUGUGCCGCAGUUAACACAUUAAGUAUUCCGCCUGGGGAGUACGAUCGCAAGAUUAAA
rnacentral:rRNA from 1 species